rnacentral:rRNA from 1 species
AGCGAACGCUGGCGGCAGGCUUAACACAUGCAAGUCGAGCGGGCAUCCUUGUGGUGUCAGCGGCAGACGGGUGAGUAACGCGUGGGAACGUGCCCUUCGGUUCGGAAUAACUCAGGGAAACUUGAGCUAAUACCGGAUACGUGCGAGAGCAGAAAGGUUUAUCUGCCGAAGGAUCGGCCAGCGUCUGAUUAGCUAGUUGGUGAGGUUAUGGCUCACCAAGGCGACGAUCAGUAGCUGGUCUGAGAGGAUGAUCAGCCACACUGGGACUGAGACACGGCCCAGACUCCUACGAGAGGCAGCAAUUGGGAAUAUUGGACAAUGGGGGCAACCCUGAUCCAGCCAUGCCGCGUGAGUGAUGACGGCCUUAGGGUUGUAAAGCUCUUUUCUCCGGGACGAUAAUGACGGUACCGGAGGAAUAAGCCCCGGCUAACUUCGUG